GAUGAACGCUGGCGGCGUGCCUAAUACAUGCAAGUCGAGCGAACAGAUGAGGAGCUUGCUCCUCUGACGUUAGCGGCGGACGGGUGAGUAACACGUGGAUAACCUACCUAUAAGACUGGGAUAACUUCGGGAAACCGGAGCUAAUACCGGAUAAUAUAUUGAACCGCAUGGUUCAAUAGUGAAAGACGGUUUUGCUGUCACUUAUAGAUGGAUCCGCGCCGCAUUAGCUAGUUGGUAAGGUAACGGCUUACCAAGGCAACGAUGCGUAGCCGACCUGAGAGGGUGAUCGGCCUCACUGGAACUGAGACACGGUCCAGACUCCUACGGGAGGCAGCAGUAGGGAAUCUUCCGCAAUGGGCGAAAGCUUGACGGAGCAACGCCGCGUGAGUGAUGAAGGUCUUCGGAUCGUAAAACUCUGUUAUUAGGGAAGAACAAAUGUGUAAGUAACUAUGCACGUCUUGACGGUACCUAAUCAGAAAGCCACGGCUAACUACGUG
rnacentral:rRNA from 1 species